CGCGAAAAACCUUNCCCNCCUUUGACAUGUACCGAAUCNUUUAGAGAUAGAGGANUGCUNGAAAGAGAGCCGUAACACAGGUNGNUGCAUGGCUGUCGUCAGCUCGUGUCGUGAGAUGUUGGGUUAAGUCCCGCAACGAGCGCAACCCUUGCCAUUAGUUGCUACGAAAGGGGCACUCUAAUGGGNCUGCNGGUGACAAACCAGAGGAAGGUGGGGAUGACGUCAAGUCCUCAUGGCCCUUAUAGGUGGGGCUACACACGUCAUACAAUGGCUGGUACAAAGGGUUGCCAACCCGCGAGGGGGAGCUAAUCCCAUAAAGCCAGUCGUAGUCCGGAUCGCAGUCUGCAACUCGACUGCGUGAAGUCGGAAUCGCUAGUAAUCGUGGAUCAGAAUGUCACGGUGAAUACGUUCCCGGGUCUUGUACACACCGCCCGUCACACCAUGGGAGCGGGUCUCGCCAGAAGUAGGUAGCCUAACCGUAAGGAGGGCGCUUACCACGNCGGGGUUCGUGACUGGGGUGAAGUCGUAACAAGGUAACCGUAAAGGGCG
rnacentral:rRNA from 1 species